AGCCGCGCGCGGACGCGAGGUGGGUGGGUCUGCGGAAGCGGGUUCCUCCUCCUUUAAGGUUCAGUGACUCGUGGGCGGCCGGCCGCAGUGUCCGUGCACUUGUUUUCCGCAGGAGGUAAUUAUCGUGGCAACUCCUGUUAGUGCCUUCGCCGGGCACCCAGCACCCGGUCUCUGGCCCUUGGCACUCAGCACCCGGCACCCAGCGCUCAGCCUGCAGAGCACCUGGGCGGUCAAGCAGGACGUCUCUCGCGGGGCCUUGCUCUCUGCCAAAGAGCAGGAGCAGUGACCUUCUCGGUGGCUCUGAGGAGUAUGGGCUACCAUCAGAAAGCACAGUGGGUUCUGCUAAGCUGGCGGUCAAGCAGCGGAGACGUUGUUACACAUGGGGGACUGGAAGCCCGGACAGGGGACGCUAACAGAAAACGGACAGCAGAGAAGCAGCCCUGAAGCCCAGAGCCCACUCACCGUGGUCUGGUGACGAGGGUCCGCUCCCCGCCACGUGGCCUCCCUGUCCGCCCCCUCAGAUUACAGACUGGCAUGUCCGGACUCUUCCCCCGAGAGGCGGCCUGGAGGGGACCCUGGUGAGGCUGGGGUGGUCUCAGCCCCUGUGUUUCUGGGCCCCGCGCACGCCUCUUGCUUGCCCCCACUCCUUCUACGACUUCCGUGAGGCCUGGGCUCCCCAUACCCACCACUUGGCAGUUUGGGCCCUACAGUGUGAGCUGUUUCCCGCCGGUAGGACCCACGUGCCCCUGACCAGCCUUGGCCCUCACCUGCCUCUGUCUCAGGUCCUGCCUCUGGCCCCGCCUCUCCCCUGGGGAUCCCGGCUCUGCCGAGUCUGGGACAGUCACUGCCACCUGUCACCUGGCAUUGUGCUGUGGAAGAGAGAAGCGUGACCACAGGAAGCACGCUCAGUCGUUCCCACCAGAAGGUUCUACUGCAGUCGGGGGUCCCCUUCCACCUCCUGAGUGGGGGACGGGCCUUGCCCUCCGCCCUCCGGCUCAGGCAGCCGUGAUAACAAGACAACAACGGUACCGCGGGUGCCCUCACACAGAUUCCUGUAGGUCUUCCGCUGGAACCGAGGCUCUGAACCCCAACUACGAAACAUCUCCUGAGUUAAUGAGACUGACCCCCCCCCCCCCCCCCCCCCCCGCCAUCCCGGAAAAUCCUGGAGAGGAGGAAACAUCCCCGGGGCUCCGGGAGCCUGGGCCCCUGCUGCCCUCCCUGGACCAGCCAGGUGAAGUCCGCCAGCUGUGACAAGAGCCCUGGCACCCGCCCGCACCUGUGUGUUCAGCCAGACCGCGCAUCGUCAUACCAUAUGUGGCUCUUUGUACCUAUUUGCACGUGGACGUAAUACCACAAAUAAAACACUAAACGGGAGGAAUCAGGGAAAAACAUAGAACCCAGAAUAUUGGGGGCCACUUACGCUCCUCCGGGAAAGCAGCGGGGACACUGUGGACGUGUUAAUAUUUCUACCGCAGUGAGCCCACAUGUCAAAUGUCAAGUCUGUGUGUAAUUGUGAGAGAGAGACAUAAAUAGAGGAAUUAUUGUAAUUCCGUCAUAAUUUGCUACUUGACCAAAAUAAACUAAUAAGAUAAAUAAACAUGGCUGCUUUUGCCCAACUGACUAAUAUGACCUGAAUAGAAAUAAAAUAUUGGAUGAGUUGGCGAUGCCAAGUUUAAGCUGGAUUAGCAACAAAAUCUCAGUGUGCCGUUUCGAUGUAAUUAACGGGAUGAUUUAAUGUGUUUUUCGCUCAGAAUCGUCGUGAGGCGUUUUUCUGCAAUAGCGUAGAAAUGAAUCCGCACGCGUCCGGGCUGCAGAGGAAUAAAAGGUUGUCAUAUUUUUGAGUC